rnacentral:rRNA from 1 species
ACGCACGCUGGCGGCGUGCUUCACACAUGCAAGUCGAACGGAAAGGCCCUGCUUUUGUGGGGUGCUCGAGUGGCGAACGGGUGAGUAACACGUGAGUAACCUGCCCUUGACUUUGGGAUAACUUCAGGAAACUGGGGCUAAUACCGGAUAGGAGCUCCUGCUGCAUGGUGGGGGUUGGAAAGUUUCGGCGGUUGGGGAUGGACUCGCGGCUUAUCAGCUUGUUGGUGGGGUAGUGGCUUACCAAGGCUUUGACGGGUAGCCGGCCUGAGAUGGUGACCGGCCACAUUGGGACUGAGAUACGGCCCAGACUCCUACGGGAGGCAGCAGUGGGGAAUAUUGCACAAUGGGCGGAAGCCUGAUGCAGCAACGCCGCGUGCGGGAUGACGGCCUUCGGGUUGUAAACCGCUUUCGCCUGUGACGAAGCGUGAGUGACGGUAAUGGGUAAAGAAGCACCGGCUAACUACGUG